CGAGCCAAACGCCGAAGCGACUCCUCGUUUCGUCUCCUCCCCAUCUCUCCCCCCUUCCGCUUCCGAGCCAAGCAACCGAGCGGAGCAGCACAAACCCUCCUUCUCCGCCUCGAUUCCGCGCGCGCGUGGGUCCCCCCACCUCACCGUCACCGGAGGAGCAGCACCGGGGGGUCGCUGGCCAUGUGGCCCGGCUGCGGCGGCCGCUUCUACUGGGCGCCCGCGCCGCCGUCGCCGUCGGCGGCGGGCGCGAGGGGCGUCGUGGUGGUGUUCGGGUGGGUGUGGAGCGACGAGGCGCAGCUGCGGCCGUUCGUCGAGCUCUACGCGUCGCUCGGGUGGCGCUGCCUCGUCUGCCACCCCGACCUCGUCGCGCUGUAUCUGUCUGAGAAAGCUGCGUCGCUGGCAUCUGGUGUUAUCAGUGAAUUAGUGAAGGAAUUCAAAGUAAAGCCAUUGCCAACUGUGUUUGCUUCCUUUUCUGGUGGUUCAAAGGGAUGCAUGUACAAGGUUAUUCAGUUACUUGAUGGAAACUGUGAAGGAGAUGCAACCAUGAAGGACUAUAGGUUGGUGAGAAACUGUAUCUGUGGGCAAAUCUAUGACUCUGGCCCAGUAGAUUUUUUCAGUGAUGUGGGUACCCAGUUUCUCCAAAAUCCUAUGAUUGGCAACUCAUCUCGACCAUCCAUGUUACUUUCAUGGAUGACAAAGGCCCUUGCAUCUGGAAUGGACACACUAUUCCCAAGCAGAAUUGAAGCUCAGCGUGCAGAGUACUGGCACACACUAUAUUCAUCAGCAGGGCUGGGUCCUGUUCUUAUGCUUUGCUCUGAAGAUGAUGAUCUUGCUCCAUGUCAUGUUGUCUGUGGUUUUGCCAGGCGUCUCAUUGAACUGGGUACUGAUGUUAAAGUUAUCAAGUGGAGUGAUUCCCCUCAUGUUGGCCAUUACAUGUUGCAUGAAGCAGAAUACAGGAGUGCUGUAAAUGAUACUCUGAUAAAAGCUCUUGUCACCUUUUGCCACAGAAGCCAGCUGAAUGCCACAAGUGAUCAGGAAUACAAGAUAGCACACUCCGUGUGCAGUCUGCACAACGUGGCUGCUAAUUCAAAUGAGAGGCUGAGAAGGGUAGCCAACGGCCCCAGUGACCACUUCUUCUUGCCAAGUUCAAAGGACCAUAAUGAAUCUAGGGAUCCGGAUUCUUUGAUUGAUGAACAGAGGCGACAACUAUCCUAUCCACCCAGCAUGGAGCCUCAAGGAGUCCUUGGCCAAAUUCUGUUUGAUGUUUGUGUUCCGAAGAACGUUGAAGGAUGGGACAUCAAACCAACAGUGUCCCCAAACGGACGGCCAACAUUGGCUUCUGCGCGGCAACUCGGCCCUUUCAAUCCCAUCAAGUAUUUUCGACGCUCAAGGCUAUAAUUUGUCUGCUGCAACUGUGAGUUUUGUGUACAUAACGGAGGCAAGAUGUCUAAUAUGACUCUGAGCAAGCUUUCUCCUAUAGUCAUAUCUUGGAACAUGUGAAUGAUUCAGGGGCAUUCAUGGAAUCCUGGUGAUAAUUGGGUAAUUCUGCACAGUUGCUAAACGCUGAGCCUUUUGACUUAGGUGAGGCCGAACAUUUGUAGCUGCAUGUGACUUGUUAGGGGUUAUUUGCUUUUCUCUGUCGUUUCGGUAUAAAGUUUAUUCAUCGAAUAUGAUCUUUGGUAUAUGUAGCGCUGGCAGCACAUGUGUGCGGCGCUUCCCGCUGAAUUCGAUUAGAUGGAGGUUCUCCUAAAUGAUGCGCUUCUGCUUGAGCACGUACUUAAAGAGAGAACUGUGAUCCUACGUUUAUUUACAGGAAUGAUAGUAACUCAUGGAUUUGUUAUUUUAUCUAGAUCAUGCAAUCUUUAUAUUGAGGGGAUCCUUGAACUCUGAUGUAUGUUUACAUGGCCGGUAUAUAGGGAUACUGUUAUAUGGGA